GGGCGCUUAGCUCAGCUGGGAGAGCGGCGGCCUUACAAGCCGUAGGUCGUAGGUUCGAUCCCUACAGCGCCCACCA
rnacentral:tRNA from 1 species